CGAUCAAAAAAGAAUUUGGGUCAUAUUACAGGCACAAAAAGUUAUGCUCGUAUAAGAGUUGAGGUGGUAUAAAUUUAUAAUAAUAUUAGCAAAUGUGUUUAGUUUCAUUCUAUUUUUCUUUAUGCAUCUUUCUCUUUUUCUUAUUGACAUAUGUAAAAAUAUUUUGUAUGUUAAAUGAAUAAUGAUAAAUUUUUGAUCAUUCAUGU
rnacentral:lncRNA from 1 species